GGUAUAUUGGGCAGGAGAGGGUGGUGAGAAAGACGGUGCUGAAUUAGUGCUGUGCAGGGUGGUGGGUGAUGCUUGUUGCUCAGGUCUUAAGCAUAUCCAUGUAGCAGAAUGAUGCUGCUGUUGAUAGGAAUCAGUAAAUCAGGAAGAGAAGCAAGUGUUUAAGUUUUUUAAUGGUUCUGGAAUUUUGGUUAUACUGAAUUCAAUUUGAGAGCGCACAUUUAGAAUCCGGGAAGUACAGAAAGAGCCAGAGAAUGAGUUGGGAGAAGUCUGAGAGGUUGGAGGAGCAUCCAGAUGGUAUUGGAAAUGGGGAGGGGAGGAUUUCAAGUCAGCACAUGGCCGUCCUUGCCUCUGCAAGUGAAGGUGACAACUUCGAGAGGACUCACAGGCGACGGUGUGAAAUGCGACCAGUCAACUCUCAGCUAACUCGCUUCUUGUACAUCACCCUAAAAAUAAGGAAAAGCAGCUGCGGGAGAGAUUUCAUCAAUCAUGCAACCACUGCUCUGCUUUCUAGUCCUGAAACCAAAUUCACAGGAGAAUCUAAUAAAUGACCUCAAUGCUUUUU
rnacentral:lncRNA from 1 species